rnacentral:tRNA from 1 species
CGGGCAGCAGCUCAGCGGUAGAGCUUUCGCCUGCUAUCGGAAAAAACCUGGGUUCGACUCCCAGCUGCUUUG